UCUCCGUUGGUGAACCAGCGGAGGGAUCAUUACAGGGCUCGCAAGACACCUACAACCCUCUGAACUUAACUAUAAGCACGUUGCUUCGGCGGGUGGCUCGGUGGGGGUUCGCCCCCCCCGAGACGCUCAACGCGCCGGCAGCCUAAUAUUCUCUGUCUCUUUGCGUUGGCAUCUCGAGUACAAACAAACAAGUUAAAACUUUCAACAACGGAUCUCUUGGUUCUG
rnacentral:misc_RNA from 1 species